UACGGAGGGUGCAAGCGUUAUCCGGAUUCACUGGGUUUAAAGGGAGCGCAGGCGGAUUUGUAAGUCAGUGGUGAAAGCCCCGAGCUCAACUUGGGAACUGCCAUUGAUACUAUAAGUCUUGAAUGUCGUUGAGGUUUGCGGAAUGGGUCAUGUAGCGGUGAAAUGCAUAGAUAUGACCCGGAACACCGAUUGCGAAGGCAGCAGGCUAAACGAAUAUUGACGCUGAGGCUCGAAAGCGUGGGGAUCAAACAGG
rnacentral:rRNA from 1 species